rnacentral:rRNA from 1 species
UACGUAGGGUGCAGGCGUUACUCGGAAUUACUGGGCGUAAAGCGUGCGCAGGCGGUUUGCUAAGACAGGUGUGAAAUCCCCGGGCUUAACCUGGGAACUGCGCUUGUUACUGGCAAGCUGGAGUGUGGCAGAGGGGGGUGGAAUUCCACGUGUAGCAGUGAAAUGCGUAGAGAUGUGGAGGAACACCGAUGGCGAAGGCAGCCCCCUGGGCUAACACUGACGCUCAUGCACGAAAGCGUGGGGAGCAAACAGG